GGACUACUGGGGUAUCUAAUCCUGUUUGCUACCCACGCUUUCGUGCCUCAGCGUCAAUGGUGGCUUAGCGAGCUGCCUUCGCAAUGGGUGUUCUGUGUCAUAUCUAAGCAUUUCACCGCUACACGACACAUUCCGCCCGCCUCAACCACAUUCAAGAUUGAUAGUAUCAACGGCGGUUCUCCGAUUAAGUCGGAGUAUUUCACCACUGACUUUCCAAUCCGCCUACGCACCCUUUAAACCCAGUAAAUCCGGAUAACGCUUGCACCCUCCGUAUUACCGCGGCGGCUGGCAC
rnacentral:rRNA from 2 species